GGGGCUCCGGCUGACCAGAUCAGAAAAUACUGUGUGUAUGCGACAGGCACUUAAGUAGAACUUUCUAUGGUCUAGACACUAUUUUAAUAGCCGUAAAGCGUUAACUCCUGCAGUGAGAUGCUCAGGACAAACCCCACAAGCUAGGUACUAAUAUCAUCCUCGCUUAGAAUGAGUAGACUGAGGCACAGAGGAUGCUCGGUGUACCCAGCGUCGCACUGCCAUUGUGUGGCCAAGUCCAGGCUUGAACUCCUUCUGCUGGCUCCAGGUACUGCGUCCUGUGGCAGCACUCGGCCUUGCACACGUCUUCUGGGUUGUUUGCGCUGUUCUGUCCUGGGAAACCUGCUCAGCAUGCUUUUGAGGACUGGUACUGCACGUCUCAUGGAGACAGAGUUUGUUGAGAACUGAAACAUGACCGUUUCUCCCUAGUCCAACUCCGGAUAUGGUCUGAUCGCUUAAUCCAUGUAAAAUUCCAGUAUGGAGAAGGGUCUGAUGUAAAACAGCCAAUGCUAUCUUCCCAGGGCACUGCCAGAGCAAGGCUUGCUGGCUCCCUCUGACCUCAGCUACCCUAGAGAGGCCAGACUGGGCUCAGCCCUCUGCCUCUCAUGAAGCUCCGCAGAGUGGAGUGCGGAGGAGCCCCCCCCCCGCGCCCUGCCUCUCCCUCCAGCAGAGCUGACAGGGCAGGGAGGACUGAGAGGCGAGGGGUCCACUGGCUUCCUCACUUCGUGGGAAGACACACACACCUGCUCUACACGGAGCAGGGCCUGUGGCGUGACAAGGACACGCGCGCGUGACGACUGGCGUGUGCCUGCCCGCCGACACCCGACCCUGCACAGCUCGCGUGCUGGCUUCCUUUAGUGCCAGCUGCCUUCGUCACAAAGGAACUUCAUUCCCACGAGACUCACGUCCCAAGUGACUCACUGCCCUGAGAUCACGACGGUUCAAAAUGCUGUAAAUCCAGGUUCCUUGAAAUAAGGAGUCCGCCCGGACCUUGGCGCAGCUGUCCGGCUGGGGAAGGGAGAGGGCACACAGAGGAAGCCAGUCCCUCACGAGAAGCGGCCGGACGCUGAGGUCCUGGAUACAGACAGGGUUUCCUAGUUACCUGGGCUGGACUCAAACCUGUGAUCCUCCUGUCUCAGCCUCCACAUCCAGACGACACUUGGCAAUCUGACCUGAGGACAUUAAAAGGCCGAGGGACCAGCCGGAGAUCCAGGUGCCCCUGAGCUCCCUUCCCUGCCGCUCUCCUCCCAGUGCAGGGGAAACUGCAGGUUCUCUUUCUGCCCAAAUGCAGGAGGCCCCAGAGGAGAGGCAGUGGAGACCCUGCAUCUCUGGCUGGCAUCAGCCCAGUGCCUUCAGGGGAAGAAAGGCAGCAAGCCACGGUCCUCCCUUGGGCUCCACAGGAGUCACCACUGCCUGCUCUGAGCCAGGCUGGCUUUGUUCUCCAACCCUGCUGGGUUCCCCCCAGCCCACUGCUCCCCUGAAAGUUGGCGUUCUCCUAAGGAAAGGGUCUGUACAUUUCCUGUCUUGCAAGUAAAUAAUUUGUACAUCUUUUCUCCAGAAAGAAAGAGAGGAAGCAGAACGAGG
ensembl:lncRNA